GCGCAGGGGGGGGGGGGAGAGGUACAAAGCUCGGCUCCCUCCCAGCCCUGGGGCCACUUCCUCCUCGGCUCCGCCGGCCGGCCAGGGGCGCCGAGCUGCCGGGCGGGCGGCGGGGGGCUGCUUUCCCCGGAUCGGGACCGUCGGACCCCAGCCCACAUGGCGCCCGCGGAGCCAGGCAGCAGGAGGUCCCAGCAGCGGAAUCAGAGGGGCCAGAACUACAGCACAAUGGGACCCACAGAAUCGCAACCACGCCGGGAUCAGACAUACCUGGAUGAGAAGAUCGCCAUCCCGGCGGUGGGAGGGCCCGGCUUCAGCUUCCGGAAGCUGUGGGCUUUCACCGGCCCUGGGUUCCUCAUGAGCAUUGCCUUUCUGGACCCGGGGAACAUCGAGUCAGACCUGCAGUGUGGGGCUGUCGCUGGGUUCAAGCUGCUGUGGGUGCUGCUCUGGGCCACCACUCUGGGGCUGCUGUGCCAGCGGCUGGCUAUCAGGCUGGGCGUCGUCACAGGAAUGGACCUGGGCGAGGUCUGCUAUCAGUACUACCCAAAGGUACCACGCGUGCUGCUCUGGAUCAUGAUCGAGAUCGCCAUCAUUGGUUCUGACAUGCAGGAGGUGAUCGGGACGGCCAUCGCUUUCAGCCUCCUCUCGGCCGGACGCAUCCCCCUGUGGGGCGGAGUCCUCAUCACCAUCAUUGACACCCUCGUCUUCCUCUUCCUGGAUAAAUACGGUCUCCGGAAGCUGGAAGCCUUUUUCGGUCUCCUGAUCACUAUCAUGGCAGUGACCUUUGGCUAUGAGUACGUGGUGGUACGGCCUGUCCAGACGGAGGUGCUGAAGGGCAUAUUCUUCCCCUACUGCCGCGGCUGCGGGCGGGAGGAGCUGCUGCAGGCCGUGGGCAUCGUGGGCGCGAUCAUCAUGCCGCACAACAUCUACCUCCAUUCCUCCCUGGUCAAGACCCGCGAAGUGACGCGCUCCGAGCGGAAGGAGGUGAGUGAGGCCAACAAGUACUUCCUGAUCGAGUCCUGCAUCGCCCUCUUCGUCUCCUUCCUCAUCAACCUCUUCGUCAUGGCCGUCUUCGGCCAGGCCUUCUACCACCGCACCAACCAGGACGUGUACAACGUUUGCGCCAACAGCAGCGCCAGCCAGUAUGCCCCUAUCUUCCCCAGGAACAACGAGACGGUCUCCGUGGACAUCUACCAAGGGGGCGUCAUUCUGGGCUGUUACUUCGGCUCCGUUGCUCUCUAUAUCUGGGCCAUCGGGAUUCUGGCAGCGGGGCAGAGUUCCACUAUGACCGGGACCUACGCUGGGCAGUUUGUCAUGGAGGGGUUUCUGCAGCUGCGCUGGUCCCGCUUUGCCCGUGUGCUCUUCACCCGCUCCUUCGCCAUCCUCCCCACCGUCUUCAUCGCCGCCUUCAAGGACGUCAGCCACCUGACGGGGAUGAACGACCUGCUCAAUGUGCUGCAGAGCAUCCUGCUGCCCUUCGCCGUUCUCCCAGUUCUCACCUUCACCAGCAUGCGGCCGCUCAUGCAGGAGUUCACCAACGGCGUUGUUGGGAAGGCGCUGAUGAUCCUCAUCACCGGGCUGAUCUGCGCCAUUAACCUCUACUUCGUGGUGAUCUACAUCCCUACGCUGGGCAGCAUUGCCUACUACAUCCCCCUGGCCUUCGUGCUGGCCGGCUACGUGGCUUUCACCCUCUACCUGAUCUGGACUUGCUGCAUUGCACAUGGAGCUGACUUCCUGGCCUGCGGACGCCACAGCCAGUUCUCCUACGGGCUCCCCUCCACUGACCCGCCGGGCUGGGCAGGGCCCCGGUGACGCACCAUGGCCACAGGCCCGGGCUGCCUCUGGGUUUGUCGCCAUCCCAGGUGGGAAUGAACCCAUCGCCACGCAGUCACCAUUACCGGCAGGGCCGGGGUUCAGGGCUGGGCUCCCUGCUCCCCCCCACAGACUGACGGAUAUGCAGCAUCUCCCCUUCUCAGCAAGCUCAGGGCGUGGGGGGACGGCACUGACCAAUCAGCACCUUCGCGGGCACCUGUGAUCACCCCCCGCUGCCACCGCCCUGCUGGUGCCCCUCAAUCCCGACCUGCAUGUGAAAUAAUGACCCUAAGUUCACACUGAUCAUGGAGGUAACUCAGCCCCCUGGGGAUCCCACUGUGAGUAGCCCUUGCUGGCUGGGCUCUGGGGAAUGGGCUGGGAGGGGCCAGAGCUGUGACUGGAGUAAAAGUUGCAGUAUCCCGGAAGGAGACUCACGGAGAAGGAGUUCAAGUCCCGGGAAAGUGCCGCUCUGUGAAUAAACUUGAUUUCAAGGGUUUCCUACAGGAGGGUCUGGUCAUUGGCUGGUGCAGGCCCCCCAGAGGGAGCAGAAAUGAGCCACCCCUGGAACUGAGCCAGCCCUGCUGGCCAGCCUGGACCUCGGUCUGAGCCUCCCUGCAAGAGUCCGUUGUCACCCUUCAGGGUCAGCCAAAGGUCAUAGCCCAGAAAAGGAACAUUUUCCGUGUGCCCAUCGCCUCCUAUCCCAAAGCGCGUCCCAGGGCACCCUGGGAUGCAGCCACCUCUGGGGUGGAGGACAAUGGGCAUAGUGCAGCAAUGCUAAUCAACAGCAGGGGGGACUUUGGCAAAUGUCCUGGGUUGACUGUGGCCAGGCAGAACAAACAAGGGCGUCAGGCUCUCGCCCUCGACAGGUCCCCUCCCUGGAGAGUGCACGGAGCUCAGCAUAUCCGCUUGCAACGGAGGAAGGCUGGGUUGGGGCUGCAGGGCUGUGAUGCUAGGAAUUUCAUCCCGGAUGUUUGGAGCAUGGGGCCACCCCCUCCAGCCCUGGACUCCCAGGCCCAAAGGGACCCAGCCCUCUUCUCGCUGAGCUACUGUGGCAAUCAAUGGUUAUGGUUGCCUGCUAGGGACUACACUGGUUAAAUUGUGUUUGCUCCUGGUUUUGCUGCUUCAUGCCGCGUGAAGGGACCCCGAAAGGGUUAAAGAAGAGAGCAUGGGGCAAGGGGAUCGGCUCGGUUUUCCCCUCAGAAACGCCUGGAGCAUCACGUCCGAUUUUGCAGGGCGGCUUGGAGCGGCGUGAUGCGCUGGACAGCGGGGUGUGGAAUCUUUACCAAAGAUCACCUGUGUCCCAAGUGUGUGUCAGGCAUUGGAGUUAACUAGAGUUCACCGUAGCAAGCGAAUCCCACCCGUUUGAAACAGUCUCGCCAAAAAAUCCCUUUUCGAUGGCUCCACUCUCCCGCUCUCGGGAUGUCAUAAAGUUGCCCAUUCCCUGCUCAGCCACAGGGUAGGCGAAACUUGAGCAUCUACUGUUAAAAGCCAUUGGCUGACGCAGAGCUGGAUCCAGUUCCAAACCUGCCAGCCCUUCAUAGACCCAAACAAGGGCCCAGGCCCGACCCGCCUUCAGCCCCCGUCUCUUCAGAUCUCGGAGUUUGUGGAGCUCUGGGAUGUAGACAGCCUGAGUCCAGAGCAAAAUCAGCUGGAGACUUUCCACCGAGGGGAGUAAGCCUGGCGUGUGGGAGCACCGCUAUCCUCGUACAGCUGCACCCAUCCCGGGAGCAGGCAGGGGGUCUCGCCCAAUGGAAUUAAAACAGCACAACUGUGAGGGUCCCAGGGCCUUCUAGUGCAGCAACAGAGGGGUUAACCAAACCUUUGGCCCCAAAGGCUUAGUCAGCCAGUGGCUCUGCCUGAUCAGGUUGCUCCAUGGGCAACAGGGCAGGAACCCUAGGGUCCAGCCUCCUUUGGAGCAGAUCAAGAAGUGAGGACUAAGGGGACUACAGGUCCCAGCAUGCAUUGCACUCAGAUGUGUCCUGUGGAGGGGUGGGCUCUGACUGGGGAGCCCAGACCUGUGGAUUUGUCUCCCUGAGGGUACCCCAGGAAGCAGCAGCUCUCCAGGCUGGCUGUGGAAGGGCAGCAGGGUGGGCUGGGAGGUCCCACCCAGGGUGGAGCUAGAGGCAGGGCAGGGAUCCUGAGCAGAUGCCCAGGGGCUCUGGGUUAGUCCCGGGGCUCCUGUUCCCUUAGAAUUACUGCACCCCCUCCUUGGAAGCCCAGCUGCAGACACCAGCGGGCACCACCUGUCCAGUGGUGAGUGAUGGGAUCAGGUGCAAUGGCUAAACCGGCUCCCUGGGGUUGGCAAGGAACCUGUGGCAGGAGGCUGGAGAAAGGGCAACCCGCAAGCAGCAGGGACAGAGUUAAACAGGGCUUGGCAUUCCCCUUCUCUGCUUAGCACUCCCCCAAGGCCCACAGCCCCCCACAAUCCAGGCUACAGCAUCCUGGCCUCUGUAGCCAUAUGCAGCUUUCCGGAGCAGGCAGCUGCCCCCCUGCACUGUUAAUUGCUAACAGCUGCAUCUGGGAGCCGGUGAAAUCUCCUCAGUCCCCAGUACAGCCACUUGGCACUCAGGCCUAAGUGAAUUAGCAGCCCCCAGAGAUGCUCCUCUUCCAAUUAGUGCUGAGAACAGAGACCUCCCCUGGGGUCCUGGAGUGCUAAUAACUCAGCUGCAGGGAAAAGCCCAAGCAGGUGCCCUCCAGCCCUGCCCAGUGUAUUUCCCACAGCCUGUUCUCUGGGCCUUUGCCCAGUUUCAGAUCACCUGGGAUCUGCCAGCUCCAGGCAAUUACUUAUUAUUACUUCAUGUAAAACCUUUGUGUAAUUGGCCAUGCCUUGCGUUUGUCCUGCCUUGGCAGCAUUGCAUUUUCUUUGCUAGCUUGAGUAUAAGGUAGGCAGCAGCUACACCUAAGAAAAUCAUUCCAGCCCAGAGAGAGCGAGAUCAAGGCAGGACAGACUGUGCUGGUGAAGAGAGGAGCUCCUAAAAGGAGCUGCAGUAGAUGAAGAGAACUGGCAGGCCCCACUGGUGUGUGUAUGGGGGUUAAACCCGCUGUCCCGGCUACAUUCCAACUCAUCGUUAAGUGGAACAGGCUGGAAUCCUCCUCCAGUGACAGUCUGGAUACGCUUUUCUUCCCUCCCUGUCCUAAACCGUUGUGUAGCUGUUGCAUCUAAUCCCAGAAACGGCUGCACCGCUGCAUUAAGUGAUUCCUGGACAAACGGUGCUCAUGCCCCACCCCAGAGGUGGCUGCAUCUCAGCACCAGGUAAGCAAUCCUUAUCU